GUUGCCAGAAAAAAGGAAUGUGCAAUGGAGAUUGUUAAUAUGGACAUAUCCUAAGACACAGUGUACCUUUUGAUAAAAUAAAUACACUAGACUUUGACACGAAGGACAAUUAAUAGUGCCAUGAAUUACUGAGGACAGGUGUUUUAUCCUGUUCAUCACCAGAAAUAGUCUCUUUAACAAGAAACUCUUCCCUAGACCUUGAAGAUAAGAUCUGAUUCAGUAAGGUGGAGUGGCAGGCGUGCAGAGAAUCAAAUAGUCCAUCUCGAGAUCAUGCAAAGACUCUGGAAAUACAAUUCCAGUGAGUCCUGGCUAUAACACUUUUGAUGCCCAUAUCACUAGCUGCAGUCCUACAAGCACCAAAGGGUGGAUGCUGUGGGGGGGUCCAGGCAGCUCUGUGGAACAGUCUCCAAUGGGCUAGUAGGAUGAGAAGGUCCAGGGGUAGUUUGGGAAACAAGGAGAAACAUCACCUCCCAAGACGGUAAACCUACUGAAAAGACGAUUCAAACUCCAGAAGGAC
rnacentral:lncRNA from 1 species